rnacentral:lncRNA from 1 species
AAAAAGUUUACAUUUCUAUCGCUUCAUAGAUAAGAUAUUUGCUUACUUAAUGUGAUAGGUACAAAUAUUUCAUGAGAGUUUUGAAAGAAACCGGUGAUGGCUUGAGAAGUAAAGAGAGAAAAAUGUUUAAUUUUGUGUGUGGCACUUGAAGAAUAGUGAAAUUAUUAAAUAUAAAGGGAACCAAGUUGGGUGGGAAACAUAAAAAUGGGGAGAAGAAAAAAAAAGGUAGAAAAAUAUGAUGAAAAGACAGAGCAGAAAGUCGUGGAGAAUGUAUGUGUGCACAUAUUGAUGGACCCCUACCACCUUUUCUCACUCAGAAUUAAUGUGACCAUGUUCUUCGUUAAGAGUUUGAGUCAUUAAUGGGACCCUCUUCCUGCGUCUUCACUCUCUCUUCGUUUCUUCAUCACAAUUUCACCCAACCCCACAACCUCAAGUGGCUACACCAGUUACCACCACGCGCGAUUCAAACCUCUUUUUCAUUUCGGUUUUUCAAUUCUCUUCCUACAAAAUAUUUGUAAGUAACUCUCUCCUUGUCUUUUUUUCUUUCAUCAAGCAUGGACACGUUAAGGAAACUACGACGAAAAGAUCUUGCUAUAAAGAUUAGACAUAGAUCUAAGCUUUAGAUCGACACCAUCAUGCCAAAAUCAAUCAUCCUCUCGUCUCGAUCCAUUCUUCUUUUACUCGACAAAAUUAUCACCCAGAAUCGCCUAAUAAUCAUGCUAUUUAAACAAAUCUAAU